UACGUAGGGGGCGAGCGUUGUUCGGAAUUACUGGGCGUAAAGCGUGCGCAGGCGGUUUUGUAAGUCAGAUGUGAAAUCCCCGAGCUCAACUUGGGAACUGCGUUUGAAACUACAAGACUAGAAUAUGGCAGAGGGGGGUAGAAUUCCACGUGUAGCAGUGAAAUGCGUAGAGAUGUGGAGGAAUAUCAGUGGCGAAGGCAGCACCCUGGGAUAAUAUUGACGCUCAGGCGCGAAAGCGUGGGGAGCAAACAGG
rnacentral:rRNA from 1 species